rnacentral:tRNA from 1 species
GCCGACGUAGCUCAGGGGUAGAGUGCUUCCUUGGUAAGGAAGAGGUCGUGGGUUCAAUUCCCAUCGUUGGCUCAA